GACGGAGGGUGCUAGCGUUGUUCGGAAUCACUGGGCGUAAAGGGCGCGUAGGCGGCCAGGCAAGUCGGCUUUGUGAAAGCCCGGGGCUCAACCCCCGGAGGUGCGGCCGGGACUGCUUGGCUGGAGGCCGGAAGAGGAGGGUGGAAUACCCAGUGUAGAGGUGAAAUUCGUAGAUAUUGGGUGGAACACCGGUGGCGAAAGCGGCUCUCUGGUCCGGACCUGACGCUGAGGCGCGAAAGCGUGGGGAGCAAACAGG
rnacentral:rRNA from 1 species